AAGAGGAGAUUCACAUUUUACCAAGUGCAAAAUACAAGAGGGGAAGUAAAGACACUAAGAAGAAGAAGAGGAGAAAAAGAGUGACAGAAUUCACCCGUCUUCUCUCCCUCAUUCCCUCCUCAGCCAACGACUUUCACUUCAGAAAUAGCGGAGGGACCAACUUCAAAAGGCAGUCAGGAAGGAGCUGGAGUGUGAAAUCUGAGAAGAGAAGCAAGAUGAGAGGCUGACCGGCGCUGUGUUUGCUAUGCUGUCCAGGAGCAGCCAGACUGGAACCAACAGACAAACACCUGCCGCUGAUCUGUGAAAUCUUGAAAGACUUUGCGGCUGAAGAUGAGAGCCUUUGAGGAGAUACAGAGAAAGUAAGGAAGCGAGCGAGGAGAACAACGGGCAAAGGGGGCAUCCUGGAUCCAAAGGGGAGGAGCUGCCAAGACAUAUUACAACAUCCAGACCACAAAGACGUCGGACAGAAAAUGGACCAAAAUAAAGACAUUAAUAAACAGUUGACAAGCAAGUUCCCAGCAGCUUCGUGCUCGCAGUCCAGUUUGAUCUGAUAUUGGAUGUAUACAUUUGUACCAGGUCAGGACAUGUCGGGGAGCGGUCCGUGAACAUGAGACGGCUAUGAAGCAAACUGCCCGCACACACACACACUUACUGAGAUACUAGGAUGCUUUCCAUGGUCACUUAAAUGUCUUAUUUGUAAUAAAAAAGUA